UGGGGAAUAUUGGACAAUGAGCGCAAGCCUGAUGCAGCCAUGCCGCGUGUAUGAAGAAGGCCUUCGGGUUGUAAAGUACUUUCAGUCGGGAGGAAGGUGGUAAGGUUAAUAACCUUAUCAAUUGACGUUACCGACAGAAGAAGCACCGGCUAACUCCGUGCCAGCAGCCGCGGUAAUACGGAGGGUGCAAGCGUUAAUCGGAAUUACUGGGCGUAAAGCGCACGCAGGCGGUCUGUCAAGUCGGAUGUGAAAUCCCCGGGCUCAACCUGGGAACUGCAUUCGAAACUGGCAGGCUAGAGUCUUGUAGAGGGGGGUAGAAUUCCAGGUGUAGCGGUGAAAUGCGUAGAGAUCUGGAGGAAUACCGGUGGCGAAGGCGGCCCCCUGGACAAAGACUGACGCUCAGGUGCGAAAGCGUGGGGAGCAAACAGG
rnacentral:rRNA from 1 species